UUCAGUUUCACAGAUGAGCAAUUGAGGCCAUAUUUUCCAUUACCAAGAGUUCUUGAUGGACUUUUUAAACUGUCAUCUGAAUUGUUUGGUAUAACCAUUAAGCCAGCAGAUGGCGAAGCAGACGUGUGGCACCCAGAUGUAAGAUUUUUUAACAUCAUGGAUGAAAAUGGUACAUGAAGAAAAACUACAAAAUGAUUUCUCAUUUGUAUUUUUAGUGCAGUGGCCUUAUGGUCGGUGCGCUCAACUCCAGAUUGAGCGGUUUGGGUUCGAGCCCAUUGUGUUGUGUUCUUGGGCAAAACUCUUUACUCUCACUUUACUCG